rnacentral:pre_miRNA from 1 species
AUGCAGAUUUCCUGGGGAUUGUGUCAACAUGCAGAUUCUGAUUUAGUUAAGUGUGGGGUGGGCCCUAGUUUCUACAUUUCUAACAAACUUCUGGGUGAUGAUAAU